CCCUUGCACCUUUGUUUGCUCUGUUCCCGCCUCUCUCCCGUGCCAGGACUUGGAGAAGCCGGCUGCUGUCUCCCGGAAGAUGAAAGGAGGAGGCCGAGUAGGAGGUGGGGGCAGCAAUGUGGACCAAGGCAGUGCCAGAACACCCAUGGAGAUGCCCCAGCAGACUGGUUUGCAGGAGCCCGGCUUGGUGCCGCAGCGCGACCACAUCAAGCAGCAGGCCCUGCUCCGGGCUCGUCAGAUCACCAGGCAGCAGCAGCAGGCAGACGGCACAGCCUCCCCCAACGCCUCCCAGGCCACCAGCCCCAGACCUGCCGACCGAGCCCCCAGCACAGUCCA
rnacentral:lncRNA from 1 species